AUCUUUCAUAUUGUUUAUGUAGGACUAAAGGUCCAGGUGCAUAGGAUGGUAUUUUUCUUUGUCUAUUGUUUAGAUAGGACUAAAGGUCCAGGUACAUAGGAUGGUAUCUUUCUUUGUCUAUUGUUUAUAUAGGACUAAAGGUCCAGCGAAAGGUGAAAAAUUAGUUUGUUAGAUUUCAAAAUCAGUCAAAAGGUAAAACCAGUCUGAAAAUAAGAUGCUAUCUUAUCUAACUGGACCUUUAGUCCAGUGAAAGGUGAAAAAUGAGUUUGUUAGAUUUCAUAAUCAGUCCUAACUAAAAUCAGUCCCUACCAGAUGUUGUAACUCACAUUUUUACAAUUUAUGGCUUAAUGAAGCAUUUAUUUUUCUGAACAACUUGGAUUUCAGUGAGCAGAUUUCUUAAUAUAAGGACAUUCUAUUUUUCAUUAUAGUAUUAAGAACGCUGGAACAAAUAUUUUUUCUACUUACAUACUUGAGUUCAGUUGAAUUAUUUUAUUGGGCAUUUGCAAAAUGAUCUGGAAUAUCUUGAAAGUUAUUAUAUACAAAUCAUACAUACACAUAUAUAUGUAUAGUUCCUAGCAUUGGGCAACUAGUAUAAGGAAUGCUGCAAAAAAAAAAAACAACUUCCUUGCUAAUGGUUUCAGCAUCAUGAUAUA